rnacentral:tRNA from 1 species
GGGCAGGUGGCGAAAUUGGUAUACGCGCUAGGCUUAGGACCUAGUUCCUGAGAAAGGAGUGCGGGUUCGAAUCCCGCUCUGCCCACCA